UGGGGAAUAUUGCGCAAUGGGGGGAACCCUGACGCAGCCAUGCCGCGUGAAUGAAGAAGGCCUUCGGGUUGUAAAGUUCUUUCGGUAUUGAGGAAGGUUGAUGUGUUAAUAGCACAUCAAAUUGACGUUAAAUACAGAAGAAGCACCGGCUAACUCCGUGCCAGCAGCCGCGGUAAUACGGAGGGUGCGAGCGUUAAUCGGAAUAACUGGGCGUAAAGGGCACGCAGGCGGUUAUUUAAGUGAGGUGUGAAAGCCCUGGGCUUAACCUAGGAAUUGCAUUUCAGACUGGGUAACUGGAGUACUUUAGGGAGGGGUAGAAUUCCACGUGUAGCGGUGAAAUGCGUAGAGAUGUGGAGGAAUACCGAAGGCGAAGGCAGCCCCUUGGGAAUGUACUGACGCUCAUGUGCGAAAGCGUGGGGAGCAAACAGGAUUAGAUACCCUGGUAGUCCACGCUGUAAACGCUGUCGAUUUGGGGGUUGGGGUUUAACUCUGGCGCCCGUAGCUAACGUGAUAAAUCGACCGCCUGGGGAGUACGGCCGCAAGGUUA
rnacentral:rRNA from 1 species